AACGAACGCUGGCGGCAGGCUUAACACAUGCAAGUCGAGCGCCCCGCAAGGGGAGCGGCAGACGGGCGAGUAACGCGUGGGAAUCUACCCAUCUCUACGGAAUAACGCAUGGAAACGUGUGCUAAUACCGUAUACGUCCUUCGGGAGAAAGAUUUAUCGGAGAUGGAUGAGCCCGCGUUGGAUUAGCUAGUUGGUGGGGUAAAGGCCUACCAAGGCGACGAUCCAUAGCUGGUCUGAGAGGAUGAUCAGCCACACUGGGACUGAGACACGGCCCAGACUCCUACGGGAGGCAGCAGAGGGGAAUAUUGGACAAUGGGCGCAAGCCUGAUCCAGCCAUGCCGCGUGAGUGAUGAAGGCCCUAGGGUUGUAAGGCUCUUUCACCGGUGAAGAUAAUGACGGUAACCGGAGAAGAAGCCCCGGCUAACUUCGUGCCAGCAGCCGCCGUAACAC
rnacentral:rRNA from 1 species